rnacentral:rRNA from 1 species
UACGUAGGGCGCAAGCGUUAUCCGGAAUUAUUGGGCGUAAAGAGCUCGUAGGCGGUUUGUCGCGUCUGCCGUGAAAGUCCGGGGCUCAACUCCGGAUCUGCGGUGGGUACGGGCAGACUAGAGUGAUGUAGGGGAGACUGGAAUUCCUGGUGUAGCGGUGAAAUGCGCAGAUAUCAGGAGGAACACCGAUGGCGAAGGCAGGUCUCUGGGCAUUAACUGACGCUGAGGAGCGAAAGCAUGGGAGCGAACGGG